UUAAGCGACUAAGCGUACACGGUGGAUGCCCUGGCAGUCAGAGGCGAUGAAGGACGUGCUAAUCUGCGAAAAGCGUCGGUAAGGUGAUAUGAACCGUUACAGCCGGCGAUGUCCGAAUGGGGAAACCCAGUGCAAUUCGUUGCACUAUCGUUAACUGAAUACAUAGGUUAACGAGGCGAACCGGGGGAACUGAAACAUCUAAGUACCCCGAGGAAAAGAAAUCAACCGAGAUUCCCCCAGUAGCGGCGAGCGAACGGGGAGCAGCCCAGAGUCUGAAUCAGCUUGUGUGUUAGUGGAACGGUCUGGAAAGUCCGACGGUACAGGGUGAUAGUCCCGUACACCAAAAUGCACAGGUUGUGAACUCGAAGAGUAGGGCGGGACACGUGGUAUCCUGUCUGAAUAUGGGGGGACCAUCCUCCAAGGCUAAAUACUCCUGACUGACCGAUAGUGAACCAGUACCGUGAGGGAAAGGCGAAAAGAACCCCGGCGAGGGGAGUGAAAAAGAACCUGAAACCGUGUACGUACAAGCAGUGGGAGCACCUUUAUGGUGUGACUGCGUACCUUUUGUAUAAUGGGUCAGCGACUUAUAUUCUGUAGCAAGGUUAACCGUAUAGGGGAGCCGCAGGGAAACCGAGUCUUAACUGGGCGUUAAGUUGCAGGGUAUAGACCCGAAACCCGGUGAUCUAGCCAUGGGCAGGUUGAAGGUUGGGUAACACUAACUGGAGGACCGAACCGACUAAUGUUGAAAAAUUAGCGGAUGACUUGUGGCUGGGGGUGAAAGGCCAAUCAAACCGGGAGAUAGCUGGUUCUCCCCGAAAGCUAUUUAGGUAGCGCCUCGUGAAUUCAUCUUCGGGGGUAGAGCACUGUUUCGGCUAGGGGGUCAUCCCGACUUACCAACCCGAUGCAAACUACGAAUACCGAAGAAUGUUAUCACGGGAGACACACGGCGGGUGCUAACGUCCGUCGUGAAGAGGGAAACAACCCAGACCGCCAGCUAAGGUCCCAAAGUCAUGGUUAAGUGGGAAACGAUGUGGGAAGGCACAGACAGCCAGGAUGUUGGCUUAGAAGCAGCCAUCAUUUAAAGAAAGCGUAAUAGCUCACUGGUCGAGUCGGCCUGCGCGGAAGAUGUAACGGGGCUAAACCAUGCACCGAAGCUGCGGCAGCGACACUAUGUGUUGUUGGGUAGGGGAGCGUUCUGUAAGCCUGCGAAGGUGGCCUGUGAGGGUUGCUGGAGGUAUCAGAAGUGCGAAUGCUGACAUAAGUAACGAUAAAGCGGGUGAAAAGCCCGCUCGCCGGAAGACCAAGGGUUCCUGUCCAACGUUAAUCGGGGCAGGGUGAGUCGACCCCUAAGGCGAGGCCGAAAGGCGUAGUCGAUGGGAAACAGGUUAAUAUUCCUGUACUUGGUGUUACUGCGAAGGGGGGACGGAGAAGGCUAUGUUAGCCGGGCGACGGUUGUCCCGGUUUAAGCAUGUAGGCGGAGGUUCCAGGUAAAUCCGGUACCUUUUAACGCUGAGGUGUGAUGACGAGGCACUACGGUGCUGAAGUAACAAAUGCCCUGCUUCCAGGAAAAGCCUCUAAGCAUCAGGUAACAUUAAAUCGUACCCCAAACCGACACAGGUGGUCAGGUAGAGAAUACCAAGGCGCUUGAGAGAACUCGGGUGAAGGAACUAGGCAAAAUGGUGCCGUAACUUCGGGAGAAGGCACGCUGGUGUGUAGGUGAAGUCCCUGCGGAUGGAGCUGAGACCAGUCGAAGAUACCAGCUGGCUGCAACUGUUUAUUAAAAACACAGCACUGUGCAAACACGAAAGUGGACGUAUACGGUGUGACGCCUGCCCGGUGCCGGAAGGUUAAUUGAUGGGGUUAUCCGUAAGGAGAAGCUCUUGAUCGAAGCCCCGGUAAACGGCGGCCGUAACUAUAACGGUCCUAAGGUAGCGAAAUUCCUUGUCGGGU
rnacentral:rRNA from 1 species